CAAAAUUCUACACACAAUACUCCACGCUGUGAAUAUGUUCUGGAUGCACCAUACACACAGAGAAUGUCUGCAAACAACAGACCUGAAACUAUUAUUCAAAUUAUGGAUUACUUAAAUUACUUUAAUGGAUUACUUAAAUUACUUAAAUUAUGGAUUGCCAGAAACUUAACAGUUGUUUUUCCCACUUUUAAGACAAUUUUUCUAAUCCAAAAGUAAAAUUGCUUGAAAUGUGCCUACAUUAUAGACAAUCUGUUUUUUUAACGUUUAAAAUUGGUCGUUAUCAAGGACAAAAUGUUCUGAAAUGAUAUUGAACUAUUCCAUAUGGGUUCUAAACCAGAUAUGAAUCACCUCUGAAUGCCUUGAAAGUGGUUAAAUUUGUGACAAACUAGUUAUGGUUGGUAUCUUAAAAGCAACAGAAUAUCUUUGGACUAUUUUGUUUUGUAUACAACAAAAUUAAGGAGGGCAAAUUCAUGUGAUCUGUUUUUAUUUAAUUAUUACAUACCACUUAUCUUAAAUGUAUUAAAGUAUUAAGUGUAUUAAAGUUUAUAUUAGUGGCUCCUGCGUACACCCCUCGCCGCCAUUGUCUCCCUUUCCCCUUCAUAACAAUAACCGGUGUUGCGCAAGACCAAGCUCAAAGGUCAGUUCAAAAAGAUUAAAAUUCACAAAUUCACAUUCACAGUUUAUCAUUUUAAUCUCUAACUAGUAUUGUGUUCAGUUAAUAUUUUUAAAGAAUGAGAAUGAGUAACUCUGAGCUUGUCUUUUUUAAUAGAACCUCUUCAGGAGAACCAGAAGCCCAUAAUAUUUAGAACUGUUGUGGAUAUGUCUACACAGUUAUGUACUGUAGGAUACUCGUGGAAGUGUAAAAGAAUAUAAUGUAUUUUGUUGUUUGUUUGUUUCACAUGUAUGCAUGUCCAUCAGCUCAAGUAGGCAAUUAACUACUCACCUACCAAAAAUCCAUAACGGUCUUCAAACAAAAUCAACUAGUUAUAAGUAUUCUGUCAAAACAGUAGGUGUGAAAGCUCUCUCGUAACACAGUUGGGACCAAAAGACCCAAUUUUGGUUCAACUAAAAGAGCUGGUCUCAGACUGAAUGAAACUGGACCACGGUCCAGUGUGCUGACAGUUUUGAAAAGUUUGGACCUUUGGACAAAUAACUGGAAGGGGGUGGACUAUUGUCACCCCUUAUACAAUAGAAGAAGAAAAUAAACUGUCAGCAGUUUAAUUAAUGUGCCUGAUUAAAACGGUGUGACUGCCUGCGCCACACUCUGUCUGUUCUUCUUGUCAAAGAUAAAAAGUCAAUUUUCUGUGUCAAAAAUAUUUUCCUUUUGAUGGCAAGAUGUGUGAAAUUCCUCACCACCACCAAAAACAAAACAAAAUGUUUGACAUGCAGGGAGGUGCUGUCCACUGGCCCCCAAUAUCAGCCAGCCAAAAAAAAAUAAAAAAAACAACAAAAAAAAAAAACCCCACAAAUAUGGACAAACAUGAA